rnacentral:rRNA from 1 species
UACGUAGGGGGCGAGCGUUGUCCGGAUUUAUUGGGCGUAAAGAGCGUGUAGGCGGCCAGGUAGGUCUGCUGUGAAAACUCGAGGCUCAACCUCGAGACGUCGGCGGAAACCAUCUGGCUAGAGUCCGGAAGAGGAGAGUGGAAUUCCUGGUGUAGCGGUGAAAUGCGCAGAUAUCAGGAAGAACCCCCGUGGCGAAGGCGGCUCUCUGGGACGGUACUGACGCUGAGAAGCGAAAGCGUGGGGAGCGAACAGG